AACGAACGCUGGCGGCAGGCUUAACACAUGCAAGUCGAACGCAUCCUUCGGGGUGAGUGGCAGACGGGUGAGUAACGCGUGGGAACGUGCCCUUCAGUUCGGGAUACCCCAGGGAAACUUGGGCUAAUACCGGAUACGUCCGAGAGCAGAAAGAUUUGUCGCUGAAGGAACGGCCGGCGUCUGAUUGGCUAGUUGGUGGGGUAAUGGCCCGCCAAGGCGACGAUCAGUAGCUGGUCUGAGAGGAUGAUCAGCCACAUUGGGACUGAGACACGGCCCAAACUCCUACGGGAGGCAGCAGUGGGGAAUAUUGGACAAUGGGCGCAAGCCUGAUCCAGCCAUGCCGCGUGAGUGAUGAAGGCCUUAGGGUUGUAAAGCUCUUUCGUCCGGGACGAUAAUGACGGUACCGGAAGAAGAAGCCCCGGCUAACUUCGUGCCAGCCGCCGCUGUAA
rnacentral:rRNA from 1 species